rnacentral:rRNA from 1 species
GACGAACGCUGGCGGCGUGCUUAACACAUGCAAGUCGAACGGUAAGGCCCUUCGGGGUACACGAGUGGCGAACGGGUGAGUAACACGUGGGUGAUCUGCCCUGCACUUCGGGAUAAGCCUGGGAAACUGGGUCUAAUACCGGAUAGGACCACUGCCUGCAUGGGUGGUGGUGGAAAGCUUUUGCGGUGUGGGAUGGGCCCGCGGCCUAUCAGCUUGUUGGUGGGGUGAUGGCCUACCAAGGCGACGAAGGGUAGCCGGCCUGGGAGGGUGACCGGCCACACUGGGACUGAGAUACGGCCCAGACUCCUACGGGAGGCAGCAGUGGGGAAUAUUGCACAAUGGGCGCAAGCCUGAUGCAGCGACGCCGCGUGAGAGAUGACGGCCUUCGGGUUGUAAACCUCUUUCAGCACCGACGAAGCGCAAGUGACGGUAGGUGCAGAAGAAGGACCGGCCAACUACGUGCCAGCCGCCGCCGUAA